AUGUGCUCACUCUCCUGAAUAGGGUUAAGGUGCUCAUAAAAUUGAAGUGCUCUCUUUUGAACUUUAAUAAUUAGUGGGUAUUGUCCUAAUUCUGCUCUGCGUGCAUUGUUCGG